rnacentral:lncRNA from 1 species
UAGAUUUUGGUGGAGAGCGUAGGAAGUGGGGAGAUCUUGGUAAAAGUCUCUCUAUCCCUCUCUCCCUUUUCUUCAGUAUAUCUUCAAAAGUUUUGAACUUGGUUAAGAUAAUGCCUUUUGUCUAAGUUGCACAUGAUAAUGUACUUGCUUGAGUUUCUAUUGUCCGUCAGCCUUUGUAGUUUAGGUAAUUAUGGAUAGCCACUCUCUUUGCCAACUAUUCCUUUUAACCACAAAUUUUAUGUUGAUUAUACACUCUGCAUUCCGCUUUAUUCAUGGUAAAUCUACUUCAUCAGUUUUUGUGGCUCGGACCUUCAAACUGCAUCGUCCUAGAAUUUUACCAAACUCAUAAAAACUGUUCAAGUAUAUUCGUGUCUGCUGUUGUCUUACUUAUCUAUUUAUCUUCCGAGCUAUUGCUGACCCUAUGCAGCAGCUAAAGUCCGAACCUUUUGGGUGAUGAUGACAUCUUUACUCCUUUCUUUGAUAGCCUUUAAACGAGAUAUUACAGCUCCUAGUCAUCUUAUCUUAUAGGGGCUUGAUUCGUGAUUUUCUGUGGAAGCUGUCCUCGAUAAAUCCUAACCAUUGAUGUCUCUUUAGCAGCAUAUCUGAUUGGUGGAACGCAUGCUCAGGUCGAAAACUGUCCGAUUGCAGUAUUUCUUGAAGUUUGUAAGUAUAUUUUGAUUUAUUUGCCAACAAUUUGUCAGAGUAUUACUUUUAUUGCUUAAGGCUGUGAUUUCUUGAAUCAGAUUAACUUUUUGGUCUGUUACUGACGUUCAACAAGCAUCAAUAGUGCUGGACACCAAUUUUUAGACUGGUAUACUAGAUUAAAUUAUCCAUUUGUUGCUGACCUGUUCUGACCAGAUCUUGAUUUGAAAGCAUUGGUAGGUUGUGAGUUGAGAGGGAACCCUCUUGAGUAAUUUUCGGAUUUGCAGUAAACCUUAUUUAUUUGUUGCUGUAGACCUGUUUAUCUAAUGCUGGAGAUUAUGUGAACUUGUCAUGUAAGACAUAAGGUUCAAAAUGGUAUUUAUAAUGGUUCCAAGAAUUAGGAGCAUGGGCGGGCAUACAAUGUGACGGAUAAUCGCCUUCUAAAAGAGCUGGUUCUUUUA